GAUGAACGCUGGCGGCGUGCCUAAUACAUGCAAGUCGAACGGGGAGUAGCAAUACUCUUUGUGGCGAACGUGUGAGUAACGCGUUGGUACCUGCCUCGAAGCGGUGGCUAUCGGACCGAAAGGUCCGCUAAUACCCCAUGCUCUCGGCAACGAGUAAAUGUGAAAACCACGUUGGGAGGUGCCUGCGUCCCAUCAGCUGGCUGGUAAGGUAACGGCUUACCAAGGCGAUAACGGGUAGGGGACCUGCGAGGGUGGCCCCCCACAAUGGAACUGAGACACGGUCCAGACACCUACGGGAGGCAGCAGUAGGGAAUAUUGGAAAUGGGCGCAAGCCAGAACCAGCAACGCCGCGUGUGAGAUGGCGGCCUUCGGGUUGUAAAGGACUUUUGACUGAGACGAGGAAGGACGGUACCGGUCGAAUAAGCCUCGGCUAACUACGUG
rnacentral:rRNA from 1 species